UGGAAGGUCCUUUCCCAAGUCAUCGCUAGUCUCACAGAGAAACAAAUUCUCCCUCAGCACAGCACUAGCAUGACUUCAGAGGCAAUCUCACCUCUGUCCUGCAGCAUCACAGUGAAGUUAGAGUAACUCACUGACUAAAGGUUAACAGAACUUUGCCUGUAGCAGCAGCUUGUGGACAUGUGCACUGUUUGCCACAUUAGAAGUGAUACUCUGACUCCAGGGAAACCAAAAGCAGCAUGUGCCACUGCCUGUUUGGAGUCAUGUGGUACUGACUGCUCUCAGAUAUGUUUGUUCCAUACCAGCUGGCAAUCAAACAGGACAGAAUACAUCCAGAGGCACGUGGAGAAAAGUUUCAUUGUGCUGUGACCAUUUCUGUCCAAGGACUCCUGUAAGAAGCAGGUGCCAAUGUGAAAACUGCUGCUCAGGGGGAGAAGAGAGCACAGAGGGUCCCGUCCAUCUCUCUGCUGCAGUGAACACCAAGUGCAGAUUCCUGGCUUCCAGCAGUGUGUGCCGUAGCCAUGGGACCACAUUACCUUCAGUUUUUAACUCUUACUAUAGCAUCACAAACCUCCAGGCCCCAUGGCAGCUCAUUGAACCUCCCUUUUCCAGUUCCUUGCACUCUAAAAAGGUGAGAAAAAUUCUUGCCAGCCCCACAAUUGGCUCAGGAUUAAACGUCUGCAAAGUUUGAUGAAAAGACAAGGUGUGAAUGCUGGCUGCUGUCAGCGAAGGAAAUGGGGCAGUUUAGUGGGUUAGGAUACCACCUACAACUUCUGUAUUUACUGCAGCAGAGAGCAGAGAAUUGGGCUUUUGGGUUUUGGCUAUUUUCUACUCAUUGGACUACAUGAGGCAUAAGAGUAAUUUUGAAAUACAGCAGAGAGACAUUGCUGUUAAUGAUGGACACAACAAAUAUUAGACAAUAACAGUGUGGUGCUAGCCAUGUCAAAUUCCAUCUUGCUUCAGCUGCUUUCCAGGAAAAUAGAUUUCUGGCUUUAAAUAUGAGGAUUAGCAGCAGCAGAUUUAGGGCUUAAAAUAAAGUAUGUAUUUUAGAUUUAUUUAGGGGCCUU
rnacentral:lncRNA from 1 species